UACGUAGGCAGCGAGCGUUGUUCGGAGUUACUGGGCGUAAAGGGUGCGUAGGCGGUUGUUUAAGUUUGGUGUGAAAUCUCCCGGCUCAACUGGGAGGGUGCGCCGAAUACUGAAUGACUAGAGUGCGGGAGAGGAGAGUGGAAUUCCUGGUGUAGCGGUGAAAUGCGUAGAUAUCAGGAGGAACACCGGUGGCGAAGGCGGGUCUCUGGGCCGUUACUGACGCUGAGGAGCGAAAGCGUGGGGAGCGAACAGG
rnacentral:rRNA from 1 species